UACAGAGACUGCAAGCGUUAUUCGGAUUCACUGGGCGUAAAGGGUGCGCAGGCGGCCAAGUGUGUUAGGCGUGAAAGCCUGAGGCUUAACCUCAGAAUUGCACCUAAAACUACAUGGCUAGAGCAUUGGAGAGGGUAGCGGAAUUCACGGUGUAGCAGUGAAAUGCGUAGAUAUCGGGAGGAACACCAGAGGCGAAGGCGGCUACCUGGACAAUUGCUGACGCUCAGGCACGAAAGCGUGGGGAGCAAAAGGG
rnacentral:rRNA from 1 species